rnacentral:lncRNA from 1 species
GGUAAGAUGUUAUAAAGUUAUCCUAACCUCAGCGCACAUCCCAAUGGGAUGACAGUGAAGCAUUCUCUCCUAGUUGGUUUAUUGUAAUUCCUCUCUCAGCAUGGUUUUGGAAAGCAUGAUGCUAGGUGAUUAUCAUAGUUCAAAACCCAGAAAUAUCUUCUUUUGAGGACUGCUGUGCUGCUAUAGUGUGGCAUCAAACUGCCUCAAGGUAACUAUGACAGACAUUUAGCUUUGUAAAUGGCAGAGAUUUCUGUCACCAACUUCACUUGCUUUAUCUGUUUCCAACACACUAUCUUAAAAGCAAGUUAAAAAAAAAAAAGUCCAUUGAACCCUUUGCUUUCAGGACUUCUCUAUCUGAGGACUCACCAUACUUGACAAAAAGAUGUUAUUUGACUGCAAGACUGGAGGCAGGUAGGAUACAAAUCCAUUAUGGUACACCCCCACCAAAAAACCCCAAAACACAACCCCAUGCUAGAUGCAUUACACUCUUUCCUGUACCUAUGCCCACCCCAACAAGUCUCUGCUCCUGCAUGUAAGUGUAACAUUCAUUUUGAAAUGUUUUUAUUCUCGUUUUGCAGUGCAAGAUGGAAAGAUAGCGAAAACACCAUUGUCUGCCUUCCCUUCCGCCUGGCCUUUUUAGAAGAUGAGCACUGCUGAACAGCUCCAAAUUAGUGACUGGAAAGUUACAAGAAAGCAGGUUGUUUAGCUUGACUCUAUUCCUAGAACGCUGUCUAGGAACACGCUAUGGUUCUGCAAGGGUUAACACAGCUUUGGACCUCAAGUAUCUUAGGGCACCCACCCGAAUAUCUGAAUGGCUUCCUUCCUUCUGCUGCACGCCCAAGUAAAAACACUGGAGCAAAUACAGCAGGUUCCCAGCAUACACAGCCCUUGGAGCAAGAUAACACUCUCAAUGACAGAUGCCUUCCUGCAAACCCAUCAACACUAACUAAGACUAGAGCAUCCUUGACUGACUACAGCAAACCCCAAAAUGAACUCUGCCGCACCACUGUGAAAACAUGCAUCUUCUGAAAAGCUGAAAGCAGAGGGGUGCACAGGAAGAAACACAAAAGAUAAAAAUUAAUCUAUUCUCCAUUCUCCCUGCUAGACGCACUGAUCUUUUCGCAACACGUCUUGAUAGAAGUGCGCACAAAUCUCAUCACCGAUCUCCUCUUCGUGUUUUACUCCAUUACCUCUCUUUUUUGGUUUUUGACUGAACUGUAAUCCUAGGGAAGGACAUGCCUAUUCUUAUACAUUUGGACAAUGCCUAGUAAAAUGGCUGCCCAGCAUUUGAGUAAUCCAUGUAAUGUUUAGAAGUGUCCACAGCCACUGUGCCUCUUGUCUGGGUGGACUGGUCAUGACUUCCUACUCCAUGAACAGUAUACACGAGGGAAGCAUUGAUAAUAAAGAUAGAUUCUUCUAUGGGCUCCA